AUGCCCGUGACCAAGCUCCUCAAGACACAGGUUGGUUCGUUCAAGGGCGACGGCUCCUUCUCUGACAGCCAGCCCGCCCGUCUCGCCGGAUGUCGACGACAGCAGCGACCUGACCUGUUUGUCAAGGGGGAGAAGAAGGAGGACCACCGGGGCUCGUCAUGGCGCGCUUCAACAACAACACGAGGAGAGGCAAGAGAGACCUCUCAAGCAAAGGACCCGACCUGUUUGUCAAGGGGGAGAAGAAGGGAGGACCACCAGGACUCGUCAUGGCACGCUUCAACAACACCAAGGGGAGAGGCAAGAGCAGCCUCUCAAGCAAAGGCCCAUGACCCCUACAUGGCCAGCCCUCAAGCAAAGGAAUGCCAUUCUUGGAAGUCAAGUCUUGUAGCAUUUCUUCUUCAAGGAAAUGAAGCCGGAAUAUCAUGUCUUCGGCGUGCAACUUAA
rnacentral:rRNA from 1 species